GAUGAACGCUGGCGGCGUGCCUAAUACAUGCAAGUCGAGCGAACAGACGAGGAGCUUGCACCUUCGACGUUAGCGGCGGACGGGUGAGUAACACGUAGGUAACCUACCUAUAAGACUGGGAUAACUUCGGGAAACCGGAGCUAAUACCGGAUAAUAUUUCGAACCGCAUGGUUCGAUAGUGAAAGAUGGCUUUGCUAUCACUUAUAGAUGGACCUGCGCCGUAUUAGCUAGUUGGUAAGGUAACGGCUUACCAAGGCAACGAUACGUAGCCGACCUGAGAGGGUGAUCGGCCACACUGGAACUGAGACACGGUCCAGACUCCUACGGGAGGCAGCAGUAGGGAAUCUUACGCAAUGGGCGAACGCCUGACGGAGCAACGCCGCGUGAGUGAUGAAGGUCUUCGGAUCGUAAAACUCUGUUAUUAGGGAAGAACAAACGUGUAAGUAACUGUGCACGUCUUGACGGUACCUAAUCAGAAAGCCACGGCUAACUACGUG
rnacentral:rRNA from 1 species